rnacentral:rRNA from 1 species
GUGAGGAAUCUUGCGCAAUGGGGGAAACCCUGACGCAGCAACGCCGCGUGAGUGAAGAAGGCCUUCGGGUUGUAAAGCUCUGUCAAGUGGGAAGAAAUACUCGGUGCUAAUAUCGCCGGGGACUGACGGUACCACUAAAGGAAGCACCGGCUAACUCCGUGCCAGCAGCCGCGGUAAGACGGAGGGUGCAAGCGUUGUUCGGAAUUACUGGGCGUAAAGAGCGUGUAGGCGGUUAAUUAAGUCGGAUGUGAAAGCCCUUGGCUUAACCAAGGAAGUGCAUCCGAAACUGGUUGACUUGAGUACGGGAGAGGAGAGUGGAAUUCCUGGAGUAGAGGUGAAAUUCGUAGAUCUCAGGAGGAACACCGGUGGCGAAGGCGACUCUCUGGACCGAUACUGACGCUGAGACGCGAAAGCGUGGGGAGCAAACAGGAUUAGAAACCCCAGUAGUCC